AUACGAAAGGUGCAAGCGUUGUUCGGAUCUACUGGGCGUAAAGAGAGUGUAGGUGGUUUAUUAAGUCGGAUGUGAAAUCCCGGGGCUCAACCUCGGAACCGCAUUCGAUACUGAUAGGCUAGAGUUUGGGAGGGGUAAGCGGAAUUCCGUGUGUAGCAGUGAAAUGCGUAGAUAUACGGAGGAACACCUGAGGCGAAGGCGGCUUACUGGACCAAUACUGACACUGAGACUCGAAAGCGUGGGUAGCAAACAGGAUUAGAAACCCCUGUAGUCC
rnacentral:rRNA from 1 species